UACAGAGGUCUCAAGCGUUGUUCGGAUUCAUUGGGCGUAAAGGGUGCGUAGGCGGCGCGGUAAGUCGGGUGUGAAAUCUCGGGGCUUAACUCCGAAACUGCAUUCGAUACUGCCGUGCUUGAGGACUGGAGAGGAGACUGGAAUUCAUGGUGUAGCAGUGAAAUGCGUAGAGAUCAUGAGGAAGACCAGUGGCGAAGGCGGGUCUCUGGACCAGCACUGACACUGAGGCACGAAAGCGUGGGGAGCAAACAGG
rnacentral:rRNA from 1 species